GACGAACGCUGGCGGCGUGCUUAACACAUGCAAGUCGAACGGAAAGGCCCCUUUGGGGGUUCUCGAGUGGCGGACGGGUGAGUAACACGUGAGUAACCUGCCCUUGACUUUGGGAUAACUUCAGGAAACUGGGGCCAAUACCGGAUCGGGAUCCUUGCUGCAUGGUGGGGGUUGGAAAGCUUCGGCGGGUUUGGCUGGAAUCGCGGCGUAUCUGCUUGUUGGGGGGGUAGUGGCUUACCAAGGCUUUGACGGGUAGCCGGCCUGAGUAGGCGACCGGCCACAUUGGGACUGAGAGACGGCCCAGACUCCUACGGGAGGCAGCAGUGGGGAAGAUUGCACAAUGGGCGGAAGCCGGAUGCAGCAACGCCGCGUGCGGGAUGACGGCCUUCGGGUUGUAAACCGCUUUCAGCAGGGGCGAAGCUUGUGGUGACGGUACCUGCAGAAGAAGCACCGGCUAACUACGUG
rnacentral:rRNA from 1 species